rnacentral:lncRNA from 1 species
GGGCGACUCUGAUCGCAAACUUGGGCGGCAACUUGGGCAUCAUAGGCGUGUCGCUGAUCACCUUCUUCGACGUGGCCUACUACUUAUUCGACGUGUUACUGAUCCUGGUGUGUCCGCGCUGCUACGACGCCUCGGGGGGCGUCACCAAGUCCGUCGCUUCCGUCAAGGAAAUUUCGAAGAAAAUUAUCACCUUGGCCGAUCCUCCGGAGCAGCCGCCAGACGACCAGCCAUCCAAGAAGCGCUCGUUGAGGUCAGAAGAAGGGUGGACGGAUAGCUUCAACGAGGCCUUCAUGAGCGAGUGAAACCAUGUUCCAUACUCAAAAUUUCACACGAAAUGGCUUCUUUUAAGGUCCGCACAAAAUAUGAUAAAAUUCACAUCUCCCGUGGAUCUAAGUCCGUCUUAUUCGAAUACAAGUUACUUAGGAACCAUUUUCUGCACUCGCGUUGCGUUCUUUUUAUAGGUUGCCAGAAAAUUUCAUAUCCACUGUUUCAUAAUUUUAUUCACUGUUUCAUACUGUUUCACAAUUUCAUAAUUUGAGUUAAUUUGAGUUUAUCCACUGUUUCAUAAUUUCAUAUCCAAAUUUCAUAACCACUGGGCAGGGUGGCCCAGUGGUUACAGUUCAGAGUACCAAGAUUGGAGCAGAGAGGCGCGGGUUCGAUCCUAGCUCGGUGCGCCAGUUUUUGGUCAAAAUCGGCAAGGAGGCCGGCGGUUAAGCACAGCAGAACUUGAAUCAGUGAGUUGUGAGUUCGAGACCGCACCAAGCUGUGGAUGUUCUGCGAUGUUAAGGCCAGUAGUCACAGUGCGACGAAGUCCGUUAUGCGAAAAAUUCAAGACGACAAUGUGGAACCCUUGUUCUGUGUUCAGAUCGGCAAGUUGCUGCGCUCGAGCUUGUUGCUUUGUAAUAUGAUAUCUGAGCCAGCACCCAUCUUAUGGCUGCGGCCGUCUCUUAGGUGGCCGAGGAAUGGCCUGCGGUCGGCUAGAACUAACUGGCCUCGAUCGGCCGACCACUGGCCAUCUAUUAUUACUCGCCCCUCAUUGUGCUCCCCUUCACCACAAGAGUGACAGGCGGAUAAUUUACGAGGUGUAUUUCCCCUCAUUUUUCCCCAACUCCCUCAUGAGAACUGCGGCUUCCAAAGAAAAUGUGAAAUCUCCGAUUUAGCAGUAAUGAAAAAAUAUUUUGUUAGAAAAUAUCUACACAAUAGAAGUUGAUUCAGAUAUGUCUUUAAUACCGAUCAAUAGAGAAUAAAUAGUACUACAUCCUUGUGUCUCACAAAAUUAGGUAAAUCGCAUGGUAUAAUGAACAUUGAUUAAUCGAUGUACAGUAGUUAACGUCUCGAAAAAUGUAUUAUUUCAUUUUGAAACGAAUUAUAAAAUAAGGCAUGUUCAGGACAAUUAUAAAUGUACCUAGUUAGCCUGCACAUACGUCUGAUGACAAUAUUAAAAUAAAAUAGAAUUUCAUAAUUCGAAAAAAAUAAGCAAUGUUUGUCAAGUAAUAAUCUAGACUUUCCUAAAGUGCAACACUGAACCGAAAUGCGGAUCGUAUCCGAUUUAUUCAAUUGGCAUUACUUUGUUACCUAGAGCACAUUAAACUGGGGUAAGAAUCUAAUAAUAAGAUUUAUUUAUUUUUGUAUCCUCUUUGUGUUGUGAGGUGUUGCUAUUGUAAUGACAAAUAUGUAACUAUUGUCUCAUAUCAAAACAAGAUCUGCCAUGUGGCAGCUGUGUGAGUAAAACCUUAAGUUGAUAAGAAAUAUUCCUGUGAGAUAUAAAAUGUAAUAAACAUGUUGUCAGCUGCUACGACCUAUGAUAUGUAUGUGUUCUGUGUACUGAUUUAUGUAACAUUGGCAGGUAUUUGGUCUGAGCUACUCUUCUAGUGGCCUCCCUCAAAUGUCAAGAUCUAAGAAAGAAACUUGAAAAGCAUC